GUAGGGGGCGAGCGUUGUCCGGAAUUAUUGGGCGUAAAGGGCGCGUAGGCGGAUGGUUAAGUCCGAUGUGAAAGAUCAGGGCUCAACCCUGAGGGUGCAUCGGAAACUGGGCAUCUUGAGGACAGGAGAGGAAAGUGGAAUUCCACGUGUAGCGGUGAAAUGCGUAGAUAUGUGGAGGAACACCAGUGGCGAAGGCGACUUUCUGGACUGUAACUGACGCUGAGGCGCGAAAGCGUGGGGAGCAAACAGGGAUUAGAUACCCUGGUAGUCCACGCCGUAAACGAUGAGUGCUAGGUGUAGAGGGUAUCGACCCCUUCUGUGCCGCAGUUAACACAAUAAGCACUCCGCCUGGGAGUACGGCCGCAAGGUUG
rnacentral:rRNA from 1 species